AUGCUUACUUCUGUAGCACAUAUACUAAAAAUGGGAACGAUACAGAGAAGAUUAGCAUGGCCCCUGUGUAAGGAUGGCAUGCACCCUUUUCUUUCCUUAUCAAGAUCAU
ensembl:snRNA U6 U6 spliceosomal RNA